rnacentral:lncRNA from 1 species
UGAGUGAAUAUCUAUCCCAAAUGUUCUGGGAAAAAGGUAAUAGCAUGGACUCAAACAAUUAAAACACUGGUUUAAUCCAAAGUUUGUUUUUCCUUUGCAGUGAGGAAGUUUUAGGACUGCGCUCUUUGGUGUUUAAACUUGAGAAGUUAGAACAAAGGGAGUUCCUUAUUAUCACGGAGGAUGGUAACUCACAGACAUUAAAAAAAAUAUGGACUUCUAAUUUUGAGAGGUUAUACAUCUUUGAACCUCUCUUUGCUGUAACGACCUUCUGGUGCUCAUUAGCAUGCUGAUUACCAUUAACACAGCUAUAAUGCAGCAAUUUUCUUGGUGUAUGUCGAGGAGAAAUGCUCAUCUGAAUGCAGUCAGGGGACAAAAUUAACUGCAUAAAUCUACAGCGCAAACUGGAUCUCGUCCAACUUUGCAUGAGUCGUCUCUCCUCUCCUGGUUGUGACAUCAUCAUCUAGAUUCCCACUGACGGCUUAAUAAGUAUCUCAGGGUUUCAUAUUUAAUUUCCUUUCUUCUCUGUAUAUUACAUUUCAACUUAAUUUCAGGAAUGCCUGACCACCUUAUUACUAUGUCUCAUAAUAUAUAUUUACCUUUAAUCUUUUAGCUAUAUCCCUUAAUGGCUCUGUUAUGAGAUUCCUAUCAACUCUACUUUUUACAUCUUUUUUUUUCAACAUUUAUAUCUUUAACAAAUAUUGACUGAUAGAGUAGAAUUUAAGCACACGAACACACACACAUUAAUACAUUUAUGGAACUAAGAAUGAGAUUGAGAUCUAUAAGUCGUCUGUAUGUUUGGAGGCAUGCAUACAUAUUACUCUUUUGCAAGAGAGAACUCAAUGAAUAGUCAGGAAAGGAAGAAAUUUUAAUGGAGAGAACAAUAGAUGUAUGAGAUCGGAUUUUCUUCUUGCUGCUGUCAUGGGCAUUUGAUGAUAUUUUGAUGAUGUUGGUCUCCAAAUGUAAACUGAGGGCUGCUGACUCUCAGCUUGCGGGUUCUGAAGCUGACAGGAAAGCUCCUGUUCCCCUCUAAAAUUCCUAUCCUGGGUCAUUCUUCAAGGGUGGCAUUGCAAAUAUUAUAGCUAAUUAAAUGAACAAAUGGCACCAAGAGUAUUUUGAAAGGUGGUUCUCUUAAUGCUUAUAUAAGUGGAAUUAUAGAAAAUGUGGCAGAAUAAGAAUCACUUUUUUUUAAAAAAAAAACAUUUGAUGUGAUUACAAACUACAUCAUAGUAUAAAUAACCACUUCAAAUAAGAAAGGUUAUGCAUUUUCUAAUCAAGAGUGGGCUGACGUUUGCAUUUAUAAUCUUUAAAAAUGCUAAGCUCUGGCCAUUUUAAUUUUUAAAGACAUAAAAAAACUUCUGCCCCAUACUUUAAGAAAAGCACAGAUUAAGAACAC